AUCCAGCUGACGAGUCUUGGACAGGACGAAACACGCGUCAAACUGGAU
rnacentral:hammerhead_ribozyme from 1 species